CCUACGGGCGGCAGCAGUGGGGAAUAUUGGGCAAUGGCGGCAACUCUGACCCAGCAACGCCGCGUGAAUGAUGAAGGUCUUCGGGUUGUAAAGUUCUUUUCUAAGGGAAGAAGAAAGUGACGGUACCUUAGGUAUACGCCUCGGCUAACUACGUGCCAGCACACGCGGUAAUACGUAGGAGGCGAGCGUUAGCCGGAAUGACUGGGUAUAAAGGGUGCGUAGGUGGUUUGACAAGUUAGAAGCGAAAUUCCGGAGCUUAACCUCGGAACUACUACUAAAACUGUUGGACUUGAGUGCAGGAGGGGCAAUCGGAAUUCCUAGUGUAGCGGUGGAAUGCGUAGAUAUUAGGAGGAACACCAGUGGCGAAGGCGGAUUGCUAGACUGUAACUGACACUGAGGCACGAAAGCGUGGGGAGCAAACAGGAUUAGAUACCCCAGUAGUC
rnacentral:rRNA from 1 species